rnacentral:rRNA from 1 species
GAAUUUUAUAUAAAUUUAUUAUAAUAAUUAAUUGAUUAAUUUUAAUAAAAUUUUAUAUUUGGUUGGGAGGAUAAUUAAAUUAUAAUAACUUUAAUUAAUAAUAAAGUCAUAGAUAAGUGAAUAUUAAUAAAAAAAAGAAUUAUUUAUAAAUUAUAUAAGAAUUAAUUACCUUAGGGAUAACAGCGUAAUAUUUUUAGAGAGUUCAUAUUGAUAAAAAUGUUUGC